UACGUAGGGGGCUAGCGUUGUCCGGAAUCAUUGGGCGCAAAGAGCGUGUAGGCGGUCCGGUAAGUCCGUUGUGAAAGUCAGGGGCUCAACCCUUGAAUGCCGGCGGAUACUGUCGGGCUAGAGUCCGGAAGAGGCGAGUGGAAUUCCCGGUGUAGCGGUGAAAUGCGCAGAUAUCGGGAGGAACACCUAUGGCGAAGGCAGCUCGCUGGGACGGUACUGACGCUGAGACGCGAAAGCGUGGGGAGCAAACAGG
rnacentral:rRNA from 1 species